rnacentral:rRNA from 1 species
UACGUAGGGUGCAAGCGUUGUCCGGAAUUAUUGGGCGUAAAGAGCUCGUAGGCGGUCUGUCGCGUCGAAUGUGAAACCCCGAGGCUCAACCUCGGGUCUGCAUUCGAUACGGGCAGACUAGAGUUCGGUAGGGGAGUCUGGAAUUCCUGGUGUAGCGGUGAAAUGCGCAGAUAUCAGGAGGAACACCGGUGGCGAAGGCGGGACUCUGGUCCGGUACUGACGCUGAGGUGCGAAAGCGUGGGGAGCAAACAGG